rnacentral:sRNA from 1 species
UCCCGGACAAGCGAUAGUAACGGAAAUCCUUUUUGUUUUUUGGCAUGGGGAACUGCUGGGGAAAAACAAAAAGAUUGCAGUGGAUAGCGCGGUCCCGA